UACAGGGGGUGCAAACGUUGCUCGGAAUUAUUGGGCGUAAAGCGCGCGUAGGCGGCUACUUAAGUCGGAUGUGAAAGCCCUUGGCUCAACUGAGGAAGUGCACCCGAAACUGAGUGGCUUGAGUACUAAAGAGGGUCGCGGAAUUCCCGGUGUAGAGGUGAAAUUCGUAGAUAUCGGGAGGACACCGGUGGCGAAGGCGGCGACCUGGGUAGAUACUGACGCUGAGGC
rnacentral:rRNA from 1 species